rnacentral:rRNA from 1 species
UACGGAGGGUGCUAGCGUUGUUCGGAAUCACUGGGCGUAAAGGGCGUGUAGGCGGUCUGUUAAGUCUGAUGUGAAAUCCCCUCGCUCAACGAGGGAACUGCGUCGGAUACUGGCAGACUCGAGUACCGGAGAGGAAGGUGGAAUUCCCGGUGUAGCGGUGAAGUGCGUAGAUAUCGGGAGGAACACCGGUGGCGAAGGCGACCUUCUGGACGGAUACUGACGCUGAGACGCGAAAGCGUGGGGAGCAAACAGG